rnacentral:rRNA from 1 species
AACGAACGCUGGCGGCGUGGAUAAGACAUGCAAGUCGAACGGGAUUUUUUUCUGUAGCAAUACAGGAAAAAGUCUAGUGGCGAACGGGUGCGUAACACGUGAGCAACCUGCCGUGAAGUGGGGGAUAGCUCGCCGAAAGGCGAAUUAAUACCGCAUGUGGCCAAGGAAGACAUCUUCCUGACGCCAAAGCCGGGGCAACCUGGCGCUUCUCGAGGGGCUCGCGGCCUAUCAGCUUGUUGGUGAGGUAACGGCUCACCAAGGCUAUGACGGGUAGCUGGUCUGAGAGGACGACCAGCCACACUGGAACUGAGACACGGUCCAGACACCUACGGGUGGCAGCAGUCGAGAAUUUUUCACAAUGGGGGAAACCCUGAUGGAGCGACGCCGCGUGGAGGAUGAAGGUUUUCGGAUUGUAAACUCCUGUCAUUAGAGAACAAGGCACACGGUUUAACUGACCGUGUGUUGAUAGUAUCUGAAGAGGAAGAGACGGCUAACUCUGUGCCAGCAGCCGCCGUAA